UACGUAGGGUGCAAGCGUUAAUCGGAAUUACUGGGCGUAAAGCGUGCGCAGGCGGUUUUGUAAGUCUGAUGUGAAAUCCCCGGGCUCAACCUGGGAAUUGCAUUGGAGACUGCAAGGCUAGAAUCUGGCAGAGGGGGGUAGAAUUCCACGUGUAGCAGUGAAAUGCGUAGAGAUGUGGAGGAACACCGAUGGCGAAGGCAGCCCCCUGGGUCAAGAUUGACGCUCAUGCACGAAAGGCGUGGGGAGCAAACGAG
rnacentral:rRNA from 1 species